GGUGGCCAGGGCAGGCGUGACAGUCGAUCAACGAAUACUGUGCACGUUUGCGUCCAGCCACC
rnacentral:ncRNA from 1 species